GCCCUCUUGGCUCAGUUGGUUAGAGCGCAGGUCUCAUAUGACAGUUAUGAGGAGUCAUUUGACUCUGCAAUCCUGAGGUCGCAAGUUCGAACCUUGCAGAGGGCA